rnacentral:tRNA from 2 species
GCCGCUGUAGCUCAGUGGUAGAGCGCACCCUUGGUAAGGGUGAGGUCACGGGUUCAAGUCCCGUCAGCGGCU